ACGUUUUUAAUUUAAUUGGAAAAAAUAUCAAUCUUCUAAAUUGAGUUAUAUAGGUUCGAAUCCUAUAAAACGUA
rnacentral:tRNA from 1 species